GUGCUCACUUUGGCAGCACAUAUACUAAAACUGGAAGGACCCAAAGAAGAUCACCAUAGUUCCAGGGCAAAUGCAAACUGGUGAAAUGUUCCAGUUUCUU
ensembl:snRNA U6 U6 spliceosomal RNA